rnacentral:rRNA from 1 species
UACAGAGGUCUCGAGCGUUAGGCGGAAUCACUGGGCUUAAAGCGUGUGUAGGCGGAUCGUUAAGUGCCUUGUGAAAUCCCACGGCUCAACCGUGGAACUGCUUGGCAUACUGGCGGUCUUGAGCAACCUAGGGGCGAGCGGAACAAAUGGUGGAGCGGUGAAAUGCGUAGAUAUCAGGAGGAACACCAAUUGCGAAGGCAGCUCGCUGGGACGUUACUGACGCUGAGACGCGAAAGCGUGGGGAGCAAACAGG